rnacentral:lncRNA from 1 species
UGCAAGCACGCUGAUAGACUGUCCAUGGAUAAUGGAGAACCCACUCUUUUGAGUAGGUGUGGCUUAUCCACUUCAGGCUCAAGUGGAGUACAGAUGAAAUGUGAGCCCUGGGUGACAUGAAGAUUGCUGUACACUGAAUUCAUGUGGGGUGGAUCGAAUUGGGACAUCGGUGCAAAUGAGUGGUUUAUGGUAAGUUAAACAUUUAAGAGCACAUGGAGCAACUGGAAGUGACACGUAUACCGCCCUGGUUUUUUUUCCUUCCCUUUUGACUCUCUGAUCCAGAAGUUGCCAGCUUCUGCAGAAAUUUUUUUUUUUUUUUUUUGGUAUACUAUUGCAAUAAAAGAUGAUGCUGGUCUACA